UACGAAGGGGGCUAGCGUUGUUCGGAAUUACUGGGCGUAAAGCGCAUGUAGGCGGCGAUUCAAGUCGGGGGUGAAAUCCUGAGGCUCAACCUCAGAACUGCCUUCGAUACUGCAUUGCUAGAGUAUGGAAGAGGUAGGUGGAACUGCGAGUGUAGAGGUGAAAUUCGUAGAUAUUUGCAAGAACACCAGUGGCGAAGGCGGCCUACUGGUCCAUCACUGACGCUGAGAUGCGAAAGCGUGGGGAG
rnacentral:rRNA from 1 species